UACAGAGGUGGCAAGCGUUGUUCGGAAUUACUGGGCGUAAAGGGCGCGUAGGCGGUCUUGUAAGUCUUGUGUGAAAUCCCUCGGCUUAACUGAGGAACUGCACGGGAUACUGCGAGACUUGAGAUCGGGAGAGGGAAGCGGAAUUCUUGGUGUAGCGGUGAAAUGCGUAGAUAUCAAGAGGAACACCUGAGGUGAAGACGGGUUGCUGGGCUGACACUGACGCUGAGGCGCGAAAGCCAGGGGAGCAAACGGG
rnacentral:rRNA from 1 species